CAGCAGGAGGACGAGGAUAAAGAAAACCCCGCGCCUCAACAGCGCCGCCGCCAUAGCAGCCGCUCCCACACCGCCCCUAGCAACGGCGCGGUUACCAGGGAGCGCGGAGCAUCACGGGAAGGGUUCAUCUUGAAGAGAAGUCAACAAAAGCUUUAAGACCGCAAGAGGGCACGUUCUUUUUUACAUUUCGUAUACUUGACUGCUCUCUGUGCCAGUCACAACAUCCGAACAGCAGAACUUCAUGCUGCCAUGCAAAUUUAGUACGUUGGAGAUGUUCCAGCUUCUUCUAUUGAAAACUGAAAUAAUUCCACAGUGCACACAGUGUCUUGGUUGCUUCUUUGCACUGUCCUCUGCUGCACAAGAGCCAAUUAAUCAUAAAGAUGUUGAUGAGUUACUCAAGACAGACUAUUGUCUGCCUCACACAGUACAAGGCUACCACGGUCAUUUGAUAUUACCAAAGAGCUGGUAACUUAGGAUGGAUUUGAAAUAGCUCUGUAUCACGUAGCAAAAUCCUGGAGUCAUCCUUCCCCUUGGACAGACCUCAUUCUUCUAAGGACACGGUGACAUGAAGGAGCCGAGUGAUCCUCUGAAUGGAAACCAAUAGCAGUUUUUCAUCUGUGUACAGCGCCAUUGUGCAGGAGUGAACGAGUUCGGCAAAGGUUGCUAAUUAUCAUGUAAAUGAUGUAGUCUUCCUCGGCUGUCUGGGCAAACCUGGGUGGGUGACCAGGUGUGGAGGACUAUGAACUGCUCAUGGUAUGCCUUGGCUUGGGAGCCCUUACUGAAACACGGAGUCAUGCUCUGCCAAGUGUGUUUGCCAGCCUUGCGCUCAUACUGCAUUUCUCAAUCUGUGAGCCAUGGCUGAUUGGCAAAGCGGUACGGAGAGCGUUCCAUCUUGUCCAGCUCUGGGAAACACAGUGAUGAGGCAUGGAGAACUCAGGUUUAAUGGGAAGUGUGGCAGGGGAUCACAGGUUGAGAAACAACGUGCACUAGCCAGUGCAGGACAGAUCACCUUGCACUAAGCAGAACUGCCUCUGGGCACCCUGGCACUGUAGGCGGUAUUGAAAUCUGCUGCGCUAAAGCAAAAGGGGUUAGGCCAGGCUGGACUUACCCUAGAAGGGACCUGGACAAGGAGGUGGAAGAACGAGAAUAAGGGGAGGGAAAGAGUGACUCUGUGGGGGAAACUCUGAAAGUAUGCGCUUCCCUUUCCUGCUAGAGAUACGGGAGGGGGUGAGGCAGCAACGUUUGCUGCUGUGGAGAGGCACCUUGCAAGUGUUUGUCAUCUCACACACCCUGAUGGGCUUUGGCAGCAGCACACCCUUAUCUCCAGCACGUUGGCAAAUUCAGCUAUGCGGCAGUUUCCUAAUUCACCAAGGCUGCGCCUGGGCUGCUCUUUGUGCUCCCUGCACUUUCCUUCUCCCCUUUCUAACAGGCAGAUUAAUUUUUUAAUAAGUUCGGAUACAAUUUCAGCUUUAGGCGGAAAAUUUUCAUGUAUUGCUUAAGCCCACAGCAGUUUAAAGGGGAGGAAUAUCGUCUCUGUCAAGACACACAGCAAGUGGAAUGUUUACUGUCUCUUUAACGCUAUUAUAAUGACAGUGCUCCAAUAAUGUUCCCCGUGGGUUGGGUCCGCAGAGUAUGCCGCACAGCUUUUCCUUUCACCGGAGUCAGCUUGGGGUUCAGGUUUCACACCUACCUCUGCUUUAUUUACACUCAUCUAUUGUCUUGUUAUUUACAUAUCUGGGUUAUAGAAUGCAGCAGCUGCCUCUUUACGCCUGUGUAUGCAGAGGCAUUAAAUGAAUUUGUGCACUUUGUGCAGAGCUACCUGCUAGGAACUUCUAAAGGGACAAGCCAUUUUGCACGCCCACAAGCGGCACAGAAAACCAAGCUGCAAAAGAUAAGGAAUUGGGUCUUUUUGAACAUGGUGGGUCCUUAAAAGUGUUGAUGCCUUCAAGUCGGGAUGUCUCUGUCCAGGGGGCCACCAGCUCACUGCCUUUGUAUCACACGCUCACCU